GAGGGAUUAACUCAUAAGGUAGAGUGGCAUCCUUACAAGAUGUAAGUAAUAGGUUCGAGUCCUAUAUCCCUCU
rnacentral:tRNA from 2 species